rnacentral:lncRNA from 1 species
CGGAUAUGGAAGUAAAGGUCUCGGAUCUCCUGUCCGCCAGACCGAAGAUCGCCGGAGGUGAGUUUAGGUGAUUGGUCGGAGAAGGGAAGUGAAAUAAAAUGGCUAGUGUUUGGUUCAGCAAACGGAUAAAGAUAAAUAUACGUGGGGUCGAUGUAGUCCAGCACGGGCCAGGCCAACGUGCGUUCAUGAUUGUCCCAGAG